rnacentral:lncRNA from 1 species
UAACAACUCACAACAGGAGUCUUUAACUCAGGAUAAUAAAACGAACGAGGAAAGGUAGCAAUUUGAUGAUAUGCGAGGAUUUAACCAGUCAACAUAUUAACAUGAAAAAUUGUAUUCAAAGAAACCAAACGUGGAAUGGCCUAUGAUUCAAUAAACAACAUAAAGAUCAAUACAAUUUAAUCCUACACCCGGCGAGGCCUCCUACAGCUACUCCCUGCACAGAGUAACAUCGAAAAACUUAUUUAUAACUACAGAAGAUCGAGAUGAAGCAUAAAAUAUCGAAACUUGAACAGAAAAAGGAUAUGACCUAUUAGGGAGCAGCAAAAAGGGACUCGAACUUUGAUGGAAUCUCGAUUACCACCGGAGGACCUUUCCGUGACUUCUAAAACUCCGAACAGUCGUCGAGUCUUCUUAAACGACAUAAUUUAUACUACAAAAGCUAUUUUUUCCUUUUUCGAAAGUUUUUCGAACCUCUCGGAUUUGUUUUUCCCUCCCCUGCUUGAUACUGUUUCUAUAGUUUUGUUUCUCCUUCUGAAAGAAAUUUUUCCAACCUAAGUUUUCUCAACCCCUUCCUUACAGAGAACCAAUGGUUUCUUGUAUAGAAAGCCAAAUUAGGGGUAUUUUGGGAAGCUCAACAAACAAUGGAAUCCCCUCAAGACAAGGAAUUCCUUCCCCAAAACGUACCAAAUCCAUUUCUAAUUUCAAAAGCUAACCAAUAGAAAAUAGAGGAAGGAGAAUAAUCUUUCAAAGCUAAUGAAAAUCCCCCAUCCAUGUACGAAUUCGUAUCAUAGCACCCGAGAUUUGCGGGAUUUGAAUGUUGGGGUGAGCCAAAUCACCCACUUGUAGAAGCUUUCUCGAAUUUCCGUACCAAACACACGCCAUCUAGGCGGUUCGAAGUCGGGUCGACAUUGGGAACCUGGUUUAAGCCGAAUUUUGGGUUGAGGAUGGGUUGGUUUCGCGGGAUCGGGUUGUUGGAGACGGGUCGGGUCGCGAAGUUGAUGGAGUUAUCAUGGUGUUUGCUGAAGGUGGGUUCUGUUUGUUGUUGCGUAGAAUGGUUUAAGGGAGAAAGGAAUCUCAUGGGCCGGAUCGGUUUAAAAAGGUUUGGCCUACUGGUGGGUGUAAAUUGAAAUUAGGCUGAAAUUGAAUUGUUUUAUUUGGGCUGGUGUGGUUUUAAAUGUUGUGCCG